rnacentral:rRNA from 1 species
UAAAUACUACUUGGUGACCGAUAGUGAACCAGUACCGUGAGGGAAAGGUGAAAAGCACCCCGAGAGGGGAGUGAAAUAGUACCUGAAACCGCACGCCUACAAUCAGUGGAAGGACUAUGGCCUUCGGGCAAAGUCUGACUGCGUGCCUUUUGCAUAAUGAGCCGGCGACUUACUCUGUGUGGCAAGGUUAAGGGCUUCUGGUCCGAAGCCGAAGCGAAAGCGAGUCUUAAUAGGGCGCACAGUUGCAUGGAGUAAACCCGAAUCCGAGUGAUCUAUCCAUGGCCAGGGUGAAAUUUCUGUAACAGGAAAUGGAGGCCCCAACCAAUAUCGGUUGAAAACGAUUUGGAUGAGCUGUGGAUAGGGGCGAAAGACCAAUCAAACUCGGUGAUAGCUGGUUCUCCUCGAAAUAGCUUUAGGGCUAGCGUCACGUGGUAGCACACGGGGGUAGAGCACUGGAUGGGCUAGGGGUCUCACCCGAUUACCGAACCCAACCAAACUCCGAAUACCGUGUGUGGAAUCGUGGCAGUCAGAAUAUGGGGGAUAAGCUCCGUAUUCAAAAGGGAAACAGCCCAGACCGCCAGUUAAGGUCCCUAAAUUACGCUAAGUGUGAAACGAUGUGCGAUUACAUAAACAACCAGGAUGUUGGCUUAGAAGCAGCCAUUCAUUUAAAGAGUGCGUAAUAGCUCACUGGUCAAGUGGUUGUGCGCCGAAAAUUCAACGGGGCUCAAGUCCGCCACCGAAGCUUCGGGCUCAAGCGAGAGCUUGAGCGGUAGAGGAGCGUUCCAACGGCGCUGAAGGUAGACCGGAAGGACUGCUGGAGCUUUUGGAAGUGAGAAUGCCGGUAUGAGUAGCGAAAAGGAGGGUGAGAAUCCCUCCCGCCGAAAGCCUAAGGAUUCCUGAGGAAGGUUCGUCCACUCAGGGUAAGUCGGGGCCUAAGGCGAGGCCGAAAGGCGUAGUCGAUGGACAACAGGUUGAAAUUCCUGUACCACCAAGCAUCGUCUGAGCGAUGUGGUGACGCAGAAGGGUAGGUCAUCACCCGGAUGGAAGAGGGUGUCCAAGCGUGUAGGGAGCAGGGCAGGCAAAUCCGCUCUGCAUGAUCCUGAGGCGUGAUGGGGAGGCGAAGUUAGUAGCCGAACUGACUGAUCCCAGGCUGCCGAGAAAAGCCGCUAGCGAGAUGUGAGGUGCCCGUACCGCAAACCGACACAGGUAGGCGAGGAGAGAAUCCUAAGGCGCGCGAGAGAACCCCUGUUAAGGAACUCGGCAAAAUGACUCCGUAACUUCGGGAGAAGGAGUGCCUAAGUAGUGUGAAGUUGAACAGACGGAGCACGAACAGGCCGCAGAGAAAUGGCCCAAGCGACUGUUUACCAAAAACACAGGUCUCUGCUAAGUGGAAACACGAAGUAUAGGGGCUGACGCCUGCCCAAUGCCGGAAGGUUAAGGGGAGAGGUUAGCGCAAGCGAAGCUUCGAACCGAAGCCCCGGUCAAUGGCGGCCGUAACUAUAACGGUCCUAAGGUAGCGAAAUUCCUUGUCGGGUAAGUUCCGACCUGCACGAAUGGCGUAACGAUCCGAGCAUUGUCUCGAGGGUGGGCCCGGUGAAAUUGUACUACGAGUGAAGAUGCUCGUUACCCGCAUAAGGACGGAGAGACCCCGUGCACCUUUACUACAGCUUGAUAUUGGAUUUAGUGGCCUCUUGUAUAGGAUAGGUGGGAGACGUUGAGACUGGAGCGCCAGCUUCGGUGGAGUCACCCUUGGAAUACCACCCUGGUUGUCAUUGAAUUCUAACUCCGAACCCGUGAAUCCGGGCGGAGGACAGUGUCUGGUGGGUAGUUUGACUGGGGCGGUCGCCUCCUAAAGAGUAACGGAGGCGCCCAA